UUUUUAAAGUUGCAUCUCUGAAAAGAAGCCAUUUUAAUUUUAAAAGUUUUAAUUAUUUUGACAGAUUGGUUAUGUCAAGAAAUUAUUCGCCUUUUGACCUCGGAGUCGAUUCCUUAUAAAUACUUGAAUGAGAUAGUCUGGGGGUGAAUGUAGGGCACGGAGUAGCUCGGGCCGGUGACCCGGUCAAUAUACACGGGGGCUAAACCAACCACCCUCCGCACGUUUACCACUGCUGAACAGAGAACGAGCUCUUAAGAGUUGGUCUACCAAUGAGGAAAGUCAAGACGCGAAUGUUCUUCGGCGCGGAGUCGGUUUAUGGUGCAAAAGCUCUUCCAACGGUUGUUAUACAGUGAAGAAGAGGAAGGUAGAAGGUAGUGGAAGUGAAGUUUUGCAGGUGAAAUAAAUAUCCGGUUUUAUAUAAAAAGAUAUGGUCCUCAAAGUAACGUUUCUUCAACAGUUUUAGCAAAAUAAUAUUAAACAAACUGUAAAAAGUCAUUUAAAAAAAUACCAUAUGGUAAAUGAAGAUUUAAAGAG